GCCGCCAUUAGUGCGCGAUCGCGUUUCAUUUUUUUGAUUUGCGGAGUUUUCAACGUGAAAAACUCCUGAAAAUAGUGAAAUUAGAAAGAGGUGGCCAGAGAGCCAAUCAACGAAAAAGGAAAAAACGGUUCUGGAGGGACUGUUGCUCCCUUGUGAUUCUUCCCUGCAUAACCAUCUCAACCGGUAAGCAAAGUCGGGAGAAUUCUACCGUUGUCGACGUUUGUUGUCCAGCAUGGAACCAUGGAACCAGCCGCACCUAAGGAAGUCUGGUGGCUCAUUGCCCAUGGUCAUCCAUGCCCAUGGAUAGACUUGUGAGUAAGCUGGAUGCGGCUUCCCGGAUGUUCAGCAACUGGCGCACUGCAGCGAUUUGAUUAUGAUGAACCUUAAUGGAGUCUCAGCUCCGGAACAUCUACGGUAUAACAGGCUCAACAGACUCGCACGAACUGCUGACAAUGGUUCAGUCUACUCAGGAAGUCAGCACACAAAAUCGAGCGUCUUAUUCAUCAUUCUGGGGGUCGUUACACAAAGGCAUAUUACUGUUAGAAAUAAUGAUAUAUAAUAAAAAAAUAAAAUUUAA
rnacentral:lncRNA from 1 species